rnacentral:rRNA from 1 species
GGGAACCGUAGGAUUGUGGGCUUUGCCUGCUAUCUCUUACCCAUGUCUUUUGAGUACUUACGUUUCCUCGGCGGGUCCGCCCGCCGAUUGGACAAAAUUAAACCCUUUGCAGUUGCAAUCAGCGUCUGAAAAACAUAAUAGUUACAACUUUCAACAACGGAUCUCUUGGUUCUGGCAUCGAUGAAGAACGCAGCGAAAUGCGAUAAGUAGUGUGAAUUGCAGAAUUCAGUGAAUCAUCGAAUCUUUGAACGCACAUUGCGCCCCUUGGUAUUCCAUGGGGCAUGCCUGUUCGAGCGUCAUUUGUACCUUCAAGCUCUGCUUGGUGUUGGGUGUUUGUCUCGCCUUUGCGUGUAGACUCGCCUCAAAACAAUUGGCAGCCGGCGUAUUGAUUUCGGAGCGCAGUACAUCUCGCGCUUUGCACUCAUAACGACCACCUCCAAAAAGUACAUUUUUACACUCUUGACCUCGGAUCAGGUAGGGAUACCCGCUGAACUUAAG